rnacentral:rRNA from 1 species
UACGUAGGGUGCGAGCGUUAAUCGGAAUACUGGGCGUAAAGCGUGCGCAGGCGGCGCGUUAAGACAGGUGUGAAAGCCCCGAGCUUAACUUGGGAAUUGCGCUUGUGACUGGCGUGCUGGAGUGUGGCAGAGGGAGGUGGAAUUCCACGUGUAGCAGUGAAAUGCGUAGAGAUGUGGAGGAACACCGAUGGCGAAGGCAGCCUCCUGGGCCAGCACUGACGCUCAUGCACGAAAGCGUGGGAGCGAAACAGGAUUGAGAAACCC